GAUGAAGAACGCAGCGAAAUGCGAUAAGUAAUGUGAAUUGCAGAAUUCAGUGAAUCAUCGAAUCUUUGAACGCACAUUGCGCCCGCCAGUAUUCUGGCGGGCAUGCCUGUUCGAGCGUCAUUUCAACCAUCAAGCCCCCGGCUUGUGUUGGGGACCCUGCGGCUGCCCGCAGGCCCUGAAAACCAGUGGCGGGCUCGCUGUCACUCCGAGCGUAGUAGCAUAUAUCUCGCUCAGGGCGUGCUGCGGGUUCCGGCCGUUAAAAGCCUUUUUUUUUACCCAAGGUUGACCUCGGAUCAGGUAGGAAGACCCGCUGAACUUAAGCAUAUCAAUAAGCGGAGGA
rnacentral:misc_RNA from 1 species